rnacentral:rRNA from 1 species
UACGAGGGGAGCAAGCGUUGUUCGGAUUUACUGGGCGUAAAGGGCGCGUAGGCGGCGCAACAAGUCACUUGUGAAAUCUCCGGGCUUAACUCGGAGCGGUCAAGUGAUACUGUCGUGCUAGAGUGCAGAAGGGGCAACUGGAAUUCUUGGUGUAGCGGUGAAAUGCGUAGAGAUCGGGAAGAACGCCAAGGGCGAAGGCACUCUGCUAGGCCUGAUUUCGCGACUGACACUCAGGGACGAGAGCCAGGGGAGCGAAUGGG